AAUUACAGUCAGUUAGUGGCAGGUACUGAAGCUCACCUUAAUCUGGUUCUUGGUAAUUACAGUCAGUUAAUGGCAGGUACUGAAGCUCACCUUAACCUAGUCCUGGGUAAUUAUUCAGUUAGUGGCAGGUACUGAAGCUCACCUUAACCUGGUCCUAGGUAAUUUCAGUCAGUUAGUGGCAGGUACUGAAGCUCACCUUAACCUGGUCUUAGGUAAUUACAGUCAGUUAGUGGCAGGUACUGAAGCUCACCUUAACCUGGUCCUAGGUAAUUACAGUCAGUUAGUGGCAGGUACUGAAGCUCACCUUAAUCUGGUUCUUGGUAAUUACAGUCAGUUAAUGGCAGGUACUGAAGCUCACCUUAACCUAGUCCUGGGUAAUUAUUCAGUUAGUGGCAGGUACUGAAGCUCACCU